CUGCUAUCCAAUCAUUCAAGGAGUGGGCAUGAAAACUGCAAUAAGAACCUGUGUGCCUGGGCAGUGCUGGUGUACUUAGAAGCAGGGGACUUGCCUUUUAAGCAGAAGAGUGCCUCCGAACAUCAGUAUCUGCAGAUCUUUUCUUGGAAACUAUUCACUGUCUUCAGAGAGAAUUCCCUUAACUGCCUUUGUGUUUGAGAGCAAGCCUGAUUUCAAGCCUUUGUGGAGAAGAGUGGUAGAAGGAACUACCUCCUGGGAGCAUCAAGACUUUCGGUCACUAAGAAGACCAAGCAUUGAGACUCUGGUUCAGUUUCUCAGAGAAUGAAUGUCUUAUCCUGUUACAAUGAGAAGCAAGAACAUGGUUACCUGGUUGCAAACGAUGAGAGAAUGUUGUACCUAUGGAGUGUGGGCUGGAAUGGAUUAUUGAGGCAUGAGGAAGAGGAGGAGGAGGAGGAGGACGACAUCUGCACAAAGGGUGUCAAGUGUGGGAGUUGGCGCCUGGACUGGGAGAGAGGAGCAUCCACACAGCUUACGGCCUGGUAUGCAGUCUCAGAGAGAAGAUUGUCCUCUAGGAGGAUUUCAUACCACAGAGUGUGGGAGCCCAGAGAGUGAGAAGGGGAUCACACUCUCCUCUGAUUUUGAUUCUCCUGAUUCUAUUUUAAAAGGACCCUUGUGACUGCAUUCAGCCAACCUAAACAGUCCAGGAAAUCUCCCCAUCUCGAAAUCCUUAGCAACAUCUACAAAGAUUAUUGGCCCUCUUUUGAGCUGAGGGGAACAGGAGAGAAUGCUGAAACAAAGUAUAAAAUGAGGGAACAAAAGUGGAAAUAUUGCCCUGACUCCUACUCACCCUGAGAACUGUCUCCAAAGGAAACUGGACCUGAGAACAUGUAAACUUGAAGCUGUCCGCAAAGAUCAUGUUCUUCCAUACACAUAAAGAAGCAGAGGACACCAAUGUGUGGAUUAUUUAUAAGGCAAGAUGAGUUCCUCUUUGCCUGGGACACUUCCUAUUUACAUCUAUUGUCUGUCUCAGUACAAUUACUAAUAGUGCCUUCUUUUAAAAUGUCUUGACUUAGAAGCCAAAUCAUUCAAGACUCUUUAAUGGCAAAUAUUAGCAGCUCAGUUUGAAGAGCAGCUGCCUAGGUAUCAUUCCAGGUUCCUUCAUGCAAGUUAAGAGACAUAACUUUAAAUAUUUGGAAAGAAAAGAGUCCAAAUUUACUUCCAUGAGGGAUCAAGUGCCCUUGAAUUAUGAAGGCUCCUAAAUCUUACCUUUGAUAAGGGGAAAACUACCAUUCUGAAACUGAGUCUUCUAUAUGUGUUGUUGUGUGGGCCUUUGCUAUUAUUGCUGAUAUGCAGAAUAUAUGACUCUAAUAUACUGAUACAAGAUAUGAUACAAAGACUUUGCCAAUCCAUUUUUGGACAUAUAUUUAAUAGCAAGUUUUCUGUGUGGGUGUCUGAUAAGGGACUGUGGCCAUCACUGGGUUUUAAGACUUACAAUUCAAGAAUCAAAAUACAUCAUGUAAAGGUACAA